rnacentral:lncRNA from 1 species
UGGAAACUUCCGACUUGUAUGUAUUUAAACUCAGUUUUUCACAAUUCCUGACAUUUAAUCCUAGUAAAAUUUCCUGUUUUAGGUCAGUUAGGAUCACCAUACAUACAUACAAGUCGGAAGUUUCCAUACACUUGAGCGAAAUACAUUUAAACUCAGUUUCUCACAAAGUGUGCCAUGAACUGUAAAUAAACCACGAGUGCCACCGUUCAGCCGCGACGUGGUAGGCCACACAAGCUCACAGAACGGGACUGCCGAGUGCUGAAGCACGUAGAGCGUAAAAAUCACCUGUCCUCGGUUGCAACACUCACUACCGAGUUCCAGUCUGCCUCGAAGCAACGUCAGCACAACAACUGUUAGUCGGGAGCUUAAAAUAAAGGGUUUCUAUGGCCGUACACAAGCCUAAGAUCACCAAGCGCAAUGCCAAGCGGCAACUGGGGUGGUGUAACGCUCACCGCCAUUGGACUCUGAAGCAGUGGAAAUGCGUUGCCUGGAGUGAUGAAUCACAUUUAACCAUCUGGCAGUCCGACGGACAAAUCUGGGUUUGGCGGAUGCCAGGAGAACGCUACCUGCCCGAAUGCAUAGUGCCAGCUGUACAGUUUGGUGGAGGAGGAAUAAUGGUCUAGGGCUGUUUUUCAUGGUUAGGACUAGGCCCCUUGGUUCCAGUGAAGGAAAAUCUUAACGCUACAGCAUACAAUGACAUUCUAGAUCUUUGGGUCAUCAGUUUGGUGAAGGCCCUUUCCAGUUUCAGCAUGACAAUGCCUCCGUGCACAAAGUGAGGUCCAUUCAAAAAUGGUUUGAAGAUUGGUGUGGAAGAACUUGAUUGGCCUGCAAAGAGCCCUGACCUCAACUUCAUCAAACACCUUUGGGAUGAGUUGGAACGCCGACUGCGAGCCAGGCCUAAUUGCCCAACCUCAUGUGUCACAGGCCGGCUCAUAGCCUGUGGCAAAAAUGAGGGGACAUGAACAACAGGAGGAACCGCCCCUGCACUGCAGAGGGGCCGUGACACUUGUGACUGAAUGGAAGCAAGUCCCUGCAGCAAUGUUCUGACAUCUAGUGAAACGCCUUCCCAGAGGAGUGGAGGCUGUUAUAGCAGCAAAGGGGGGACCAACUCCAUAUUAAAGCCCAUGAUUUUGGAAUGAGAUGUUAGACAAGCAGGUGUCCACAUACUUUUGGUCAUGUUGUGUGUAUAUCUAAAACAUUUUCCUUCAAGUAUUGUUCUAGAUUACUAAUGUUACGAUCCCCAAUACAACAAAAAAUACUUAAACAUGUAAUUUUGUUCUUAACAUUUAAUUGAAAUACUGUAGAUUUCCAUUCAUUCCUGCAGAAGACUGCUCCUACUAGGGAGUGCCAAUAUGGCCGACUAGUGGCUUCAAAGCCUCUCAAUGGCUAAUGCAUAGCCUCAGCAAUGAAGUGUUUAUAUACACCAUUGGUCAUACCCCCAUCAGAACCCAAAAUAUAAGCUUGUUUUACGCCAUUGUUGUAAACAAAUACCGCAAAGCAUCACAACAUUGUUAAGCGUAAUUUUGAUAUGGAUGGUCAGUCCCUGCACCCAUAGCUCCAGCUAUACAUUUGAGUGGUUACAUUUCUCCAGGCCUAUACCUCGUCUUUUUUCAGAGGCGGAGUGCCAAAUUCUCAAUAUUCUAGCAGGCAUCGUCGCUGUGCAGAAUGUGGGGAUCUUCUCAACAUUACUGUGCAGAGAGAGAUCCCUCUAACAUCAGGCCUCAUUGGUGUGUGUGUGGUGGAAAAUUACAAACUAGGCUCUGUCUAUUCUGUAUUAACCUUAGAGAACUCGACAGACACAGACCGCCCAUGUCUGUUCUAGUCAUAAGACUAGAUACUGUUACUCAGUAUCUACAGGAUCCCAAUGGAAACAUACUGAGGAGAACAGAAUAGCAUGAUUAGCAGUAUCAUGAUCUAAAUCAUUCAGACUAUACCCGGUGUCAGCAGAUAGUUACGAAACUUGCUAUUUAUCGUUUGAUUGCACUAUGUACCUACCUUUGUUUCCACACAUCUGCUAACUGUGCAGUAGAUAAGGAGGUUGUACUUCUGUUUGUUGGGUCCUUAACUCUGCACCAUUGAGUGAUGGUUAACUGCUCCAGAUUUGCAAAUCUUAUAAUAAAGUUGUUGUUUGAAGAAUCUACAGUCUCUCUUCCUUUUGGUUACAAUUACCACGACGUGCAAAGGGAGGGGACCCUAUCAACAGCCAACACCACUGUGUAAAGGGAGGGGACCCUAUCAACAGCCAACACCACUGAGCAGAGGGAGGGGACCCUAUCAACAGCCAACACCACUGUGUAAAGGGAGGGGACCCUAUCAACAGCCAACACCACUGUGCAGAGGGAGGGGACCCUAUCAACAGCCAACACCACUGUGUAAAGGGAGGGGACCCUAUCAACAGCCAACACCACUGAGCAAAGGGAGGGGACCCUAUCAACAGCCAACACCACUGUGUAAAGGGAGGGGACCCUAUCAACAGCCAACACCACUGUGUAAAGGGAGGGGACCCUAUCAACAGCCAACACCACUGAGCAGAGGGAGGGGACCCUAUCAACAGCCAACACCACUGAGCAGAGGGAGGGGACCCUAUCAACAGCCAACACCACUGUGUAAAGGGAGGGGACCCUAUCAACAGCCAACACCACUGUGUAAAGGGAGGGGACCCUAUCAACAACCAACACCACUGUGCAGAGGGAGGGGACCCUAUCAACAGCCAACACCACUGUGUAAAGGGAGGGGACCCUAUCAACAGCCAACACCACUGUGCAGAGGGAGGGGACCCUAUCAACAGCCAACACCACUGAGCAGAGGGAGGGGACCCUAUCAACAGCCAACACCACUGUGUAAAGGGAGGGGACCCUAUCAACAGCCAACACCACUGUGCAGAGGGAGGGGACCCUAUCAACAGCCAACACCACUGAGCAAAGGGAGGGGACCCUAUCAACAGCCAACACCACUGUGUAAAGGGAGGGGACCCUAUCAACAGCCAACACCACUGCGCAGAGGGAAGAGAUCCUCCUAACAUCAGGCCUCAUUGUUGUGUAAAGGGAGAGCACCCUAGCAACAGCCAACACCACUGUGUAAAGGGAGGGCAUCCUAUCAACAGCCAACACCACUGUGCAAAGGGAGGGCAUCCUAUCAACAGCCAACACCACUGUGCAAAGGGAGGGCAUCCUAUCAACAGCCAACACCACUGUGUAAAGGGAGGGCAUCCUAUCAACAGCCAACACCACUGUGCAAAGGGAGGGCAUCCUAUCAACAGCCAACACCACUGUGUAAAGGGAGGGCAUCCUAUCAACAGCCAACACCACUGUGCAAAGGGAGGGCAUCCUAUCAACAGCCAACACCACUGUGCAAAGGGAGGGCAUCCUAUCAACAGCCAACACCACUGUGUAAAGGGAGGGGACCCUAUCAACAGCCAACACCACUGUGUAAAGGGAGGGGACCCUAUCAACAACCAACACCACUGUGUAAAGGGAGGGGACCCUAUCAACAGCCAACACCACUGUGCAAAGGGAGGGGACCCUAUCAACAGCCAACACCACUGUGUAAAGGGAGGGGACCCUAUCAACAGCCAACACCACUGUGCAAAGGGAGGGGAUCCUCUCAUAACCAACAUCUCGGCACAGAGCUCCAUUUUCAUGUCAUCUGAUCUGACCAUAUGAAACGGCACUUGGAUUCGCACUUGGCAAGACAAUAACCCGAAGUACUAAUACAAAUCCACAAAGAAAUAGUUAAUUGACUACAAAAUCAGUUUCCGGACUUGAACCCCAUUGAAAACCUGUGAUUUCAAUUGAAGAGGGCAGUCCAUGAAGAGGAUAUCAAGGAUCUGGGAAAAUUCUGUAUGGAGGAAUGGUCUAAGAUUCCUCUAAUCUCAUAAAACAUUUCUAGAAAAAGGCAGCGUUAUUAUCCUCGCAGGGGGAGGGCGCUAGAGUAUUGAAAAGAGGGGUGCCAAUAAUUCUGACCCCCCCCUUCUCUUUUAGAUUUUGUAUUACUUGGUAAACAAAAUCUCUCUGAGCAAUUUUAUUAAUAUAAUAUAAUUUCCCCAUUUUUUGGAGCAUACAAUAUAGCUCAGUAUGUAUUAUUUAUCUUAUACAAUCUUUUUUGCGCAUCUUUAUCAAGGGAUUCCAAUAGUGGGGAGGCAGGUUUAAAUAUUUAUUUAACUAGGCAAGUCAGUUAAGAACAAAUUCUUAUUUACAAUGACGGCCUACCCCAGCCAAACCUGGGCCAAUUGUGCACCGCCCUAUGGGACUCCCAAUCACGGCCGGAUGUGAUACAGCCUGGAUUCAAACCAGGGACUGUAGUGCACUGAGAUGCAGUGCCUUAGACCACUGCACCACUCGGGAGCCCAGGCAGGUAGGCUAGCGGUUAAGAGCAUUAGGGCAGUAACAAAAAGGUUGCUGGUUCUAAUCUCAGAGCCAGGAAGGUGGAAAAAUCUGCUGUUCUGCCGUUGAGCAAGGCAGUUAACCCCCAACAACUGCUCCCCGGGCGCUGAUGACGUUGAUUAAAGCCGUCUGCAUGCUUCGCAGCCCAAACAGUUCGGAAGAGUUUGUGCAUGACAACAUUGAGGUUUUUGUUAGUUUUGGACUUCAGCAAGGUUUUUUUGGGCUGUUUGGGCACACAAAACAUUUAGCUAUGCCUCUUCAUUGGUAAUUGGUCAACAGUAGAGAUUCUUCAAUAAAGC